GAUUCCCUUCGUGGAUCAUCCGAUAAGAUUGGAACGAUACAGACAAGAUUAGCACGGCCCAUGCGCCAGGAUGACACGCACAAAUCGAGAAGAGUACUGAGGUUUU
rnacentral:snRNA from 1 species